rnacentral:tRNA from 1 species
GCAGUUGUGGCGGAAUUUGGUAUACGCGCUAGACUAAGGAUCUGGUGGUGAAUAAAAUAAACCUUGGGGGUUCGAGUCCCCCCAACUGCA